rfam:Helianthus annuus linkage group 4, whole genome shotgun sequence.
AAGCUAUGAUGAUAAGCCUUUCUGAUGGUUGGGUCCAUCAGCUGCAACUGAAAUCCAAGUUGACAACACAUGGCCCUUCUGAGCUU